ACUAAGCGUACACGGUGGAUGCCCUGGCAGUCAGAGGCGAUGAAGGACGUGCUAAUCUGCGAUAAGCGUCGGUAAGGUGAUAUGAACCGUUAUAACCGGCGAUUUCCGAAUGGGGAAACCCAGUGUGUUUCGACACACUAUCAUUAACUGAAUCCAUAGGUUAAUGAGGCGAACCGGGGGAACUGAAACAUCUAAGUACCCCGAGGAAAAGAAAUCAACCGAGAUUCCCCCAGUAGCGGCGAGCGAACGGGGAGGAGCCCAGAGCCUGAAUCAGUGUGUGUGUUAGUGGAAGCGUCUGGAAAGGCGCGCGAUACAGGGUGACAGCCCCGUACACAAAAAUGCACAUGCUGUGAGCUCGAUGAGUAGGGCGGGACACGUGGUAUCCUGUCUGAAUAUGGGGGGACCAUCCUCCAAGGCUAAAUACUCCUGACUGACCGAUAGUGAACCAGUACCGUGAGGGAAAGGCGAAAAGAACCCCGGCGAGGGGAGUGAAAAAGAACCUGAAACCGUGUACGUACAAGCAGUGGGAGCCUCUUUAUGGGGUGACUGCGUACCUUUUGUAUAAUGGGUCAGCGACUUAUAUUCUGUAGCAAGGUUAACCGAAUAGGGGAGCCGAAGGGAAACCGAGUCUUAACUGGGCGUUAAGUUGCAGGGUAUAGACCCGAAACCCGGUGAUCUAGCCAUGGGCAGGUUGAAGGUUGGGUAACACUAACUGGAGGACCGAACCGACUAAUGUUGAAAAAUUAGCGGAUGACUUGUGGCUGGGGGUGAAAGGCCAAUCAAACCGGGAGAUAGCUGGUUCUCCCCGAAAGCUAUUUAGGUAGCGCCUCGUGAAUUCAUCUCCGGGGGUAGAGCACUGUUUCGGCAAGGGGGUCAUCCCGACUUACCAACCCGAUGCAAACUGCGAAUACCGGAGAAUGUUAUCACGGGAGACACACGGCGGGUGCUAACGUCCGUCGUGAAGAGGGAAACAACCCAGACCGCCAGCUAAGGUCCCAAAGUCAUGGUUAAGUGGGAAACGAUGUGGGAAGGCCCAGACAGCCAGGAUGUUGGCUUAGAAGCAGCCAUCAUUUAAAGAAAGCGUAAUAGCUCACUGGUCGAGUCGGCCUGCGCGGAAGAUGUAACGGGGCUAAACCAUGCACCGAAGCUGCGGCAGCGACACUAUGUGUUGUUGGGUAGGGGAGCGUUCUGUAAGCCUGUGAAGGUGUACUGUGAGGUAUGCUGGAGGUAUCAGAAGUGCGAAUGCUGACAUAAGUAACGAUAAAGCGGGUGAAAAGCCCGCUCGCCGGAAGACCAAGGGUUCCUGUCCAACGUUAAUCGGGGCAGGGUGAGUCGACCCCUAAGGCGAGGCCGAAAGGCGUAGUCGAUGGGAAACAGGUUAAUAUUCCUGUACUUGGUGUUACUGCGAAGGGGGGACGGAGAAGGCUAUGUUGGCCGGGCGACGGUUGUCCCGGUUUAAGCGUGUAGGCUGGUUUUCCAGGCAAAUCCGGAAAAUCAAGGCUGAGGCGUGAUGACGAGGCACUACGGUGCUGAAGCAACAAAUGCCCUGCUUCCAGGAAAAGCCUCUAAGCAUCAGGUAACAUCAAAUCGUACCCCAAACCGACACAGGUGGUCAGGUAGAGAAUACCAAGGCGCUUGAGAGAACUCGGGUGAAGGAACUAGGCAAAAUGGUGCCGUAACUUCGGGAGAAGGCACGCUGAUAUGUAGGUGAAGCGACUUGCUCGUGGAGCUGAAAUCAGUCGAAGAUACCAGCUGGCUGCAACUGUUUAUUAAAAACACAGCACUGUGCAAACACGAAAGUGGACGUAUACGGUGUGACGCCUGCCCGGUGCCGGAAGGUUAAUUGAUGGGGUUAGCGGUAACGCGAAGCUCUUGAUCGAAGCCCCGGUAAACGGCGGCCGUAACUAUAACGGUCCUAAGGUAGCGAAAUUCCUUGUCGGGUAAGUUCCGACCUGCACGAAUGGCGUAAUGAUGGCCAGGCUGUCUCCACCCGAGACUCAGUGAAAUUGAACUCGCUGUGAAGAUGCAGUGUACCCGCGGCAAGACGGAAAGACCCCGUGAACCUUUACUAUAGCUUGACACUGAACAUUGAGCCUUGAUGUGUAGGAUAGGUGGGAGGCUUUGAAGUGUGGACGCCAGUCUGCAUGGAGCCGGCCUUGAAAUACCACCCUUUAAUGUUUGAUGUUCUAACGUUGGCCCCUGAUCGGGGUUGCGGACAGUGUCUGGUGGGUAGUUUGACUGGGGCGGUCUCCUCCUAAAGAGUAACGGAGGAGCACGAAGGUUGGCUAAUCCUGGUCGGACAUCAGGAGGUUAGUGCAAUGGCAUAAGCCAGCUUGACUGCGAGCGUGACGGCGCGAGCAGGUGCGAAAGCAGGUCAUAGUGAUCCGGUGGUUCUGAAUGGAAGGGCCAUCGCUCAACGGAUAAAAGGUACUCCGGGGAUAACAGGCUGAUACCGCCCAAGAGUUCAUAUCGACGGCGGUGUUUGGCACCUCGAUGUCGGCUCAUCACAUCCUGGGGCUGAAGUAGGUCCCAAGGGUAUGGCUGUUCGCCAUUUAAAGUGGUACGCGAGCUGGGUUUAGAACGUCGUGAGACAGUUCGGUCCCUAUCUGCCGUGGGCGCUGGAGAACUGAGGGGGGCUGCUCCUAGUACGAGAGGACCGGAGUGGACGCAUCACUGGUGUUCGGGUUGUCAUGCCAAUGGCACUGCCCGGUAGCUAAAUGCGGAAGAGAUAAGUGCUGAAAGCAUCUAAGCACGAAACUUGCCCCGAGAUGAGUUCUCCCUGAGACUUAGAGUCUCCUGAAGGAACGUUGAAGACGACGACGUUGAUAGGCCGGGUGUGUAAGCGCAGCGAUGCGUUGAGCUAACCGGUACUAAUGAACCGUGAGGCUUAACC
rnacentral:rRNA from 1 species